GCGGAUAUGGCGGAAUUGGUAGACGUGCCAGGUUUAGGUCCUGGUGAGCUUGCUCGUGGGGGUUCAAGUCCCUCUAUCCGCAC
rnacentral:tRNA from 3 species